rnacentral:tRNA from 1 species
UUAGAUGAAACAUUAUAGAUGUGUUUCUUUUACAAAGAAAAAAAGAGUAAUCCGUCUAAA